GACGAACGCUGGCGGCGUGCUUAACACAUGCAAGUCGAACGAAGUGGCGAACGGGUGAGUAACGCGUAAUCAACCUGCCCUUCAGAGGGGGACAACAGUUGGAAACGACUGCUAAUACCGCAUACUGAAGGAGGGGAUUGCGUCUGAUUAGCUAGUUGGAGGGGUAACGGCCCACCAAGGCGAUGAUCAGUAGCCGGGCUUGGAGGAUGAACGGCCAAAACUGGAAUUAGACACGGCCCAGACUCCUACGGGAGGCAGCAGUGGGGAAUCAUUCGCAAUGGACGAAAGUCUGACGGAGCAACGCCGCGGGAGUGAUGACGGCCCUCGGGUUGUAAAGCUCUGUUAAUCGGGACGCGGUACCGGAAUAGAAAGCCACGGCUAACUACGUGCCAGCAGCCGCGGUAAUAC
rnacentral:rRNA from 1 species